rnacentral:rRNA from 1 species
CCUACGGGUGGCUGCAGUGGGGAAUAUUGGACAAUGGGCGAAAGCCUGAUCCAGCCAUGCCGCGUGUGUGAAGAAGGCCUUCGGGUUGUAAAGCACUUUCAGUGGGGAAGAAAGCCUUGGGGCUAAUACCCUCGAGGAAGGACAUCACCCACAGAAGAAGCACCGGCUAACUCCGUGCCAGCAGCCGCGGUACAUACGGGGGUGCGAGCGUUAAUCGGAAUUACUGGGCGUAAAGCGCGCGUAGGCGGUCUGAUAAGCCGGUUGUGAAAGCCCCGGGCUCAACCUGGGAACGGCAUCCGGAACUGUCAGGCUAGAGUGCAGGAGAGGAAGGUAGAAUUCCCGGUGUAGCGGUGAAAUGCGUAGAGAUCGGGAGGAAUACCAGUGGCGAAGGCGGCCUUCUGGACUGACACUGACGCUGAGGUGCGAAAGCGUGGGUAGCAAACAGGAUUAGAUACCCCAGUAGUC